CAUUCAUAAAUAAAAGACCAGACCUGAACAGAAAAUUUGAAGUCCAACCACGGAACUCAAGAGAAUCAUCAAAAGAAAGGACUUCAAGAAGGUGGAACAUAUCCAAUCCACUGGCAAGUUAUCAAAAUGUGCUCUAUCAAAGACAAGUUGCCCAUGACACGACAUGAAGUGAGUAAGCAGCCUAAUGGUAUGAACAAGUUAUUCGGUUAGGUCCAACUCUUGGAAUUUUUUUCCUGAACUUUUUCCCUGAAUUUUUUUUCCUUAGAAAGUUUUUCCUGAACCACAUGGAAGAGACAUGAAGAAAGAGAGGAUUUGCAGGACAAGCCAGGCAUGAAGACCAAGCUAGGGACCUAAUCUGCAAAAUCAAGGUGAAGAUUCCAAAUGGAAUGUUCCCAGGAGACACAGUUGAGAGCCUGGCCAGAGAAAAGAAACUGAGAGUGGGGGCUCUCUCUCUCUGGGGGUGACUGACCAACAGAGAAACAUCUUCUCUGGGUUCCUGACCAAAAGAGACUGGUUUUUUCUGAUCUAGGCAGAGAGACCUUUGGGGUUUUGAUAGAGUCUGGACUUGAAUUACUCAAGCAGAGAUCUGCCUAAAGAAAGAAGAAAAGAAGAAAAAUACUCAUCCUCCAUCUCUCUGGCUGUCUCUGUGUCACAGCUGUGGCUAGACUGACAUUUCCCACACCCUCCUAAUUCUCCUUGUAGAUUAGGGACAAAUCUCAUCCCUCUCACCUCAAUCCCCAUUAUAUUUGUUACCAAUAAACCCCUUUACUUGAGAAAAGAAGAGUAAAGA
rnacentral:lncRNA from 1 species